rnacentral:rRNA from 1 species
AUUAUAGCUCUAAAAUGUGUACAUAUCGCCCGUCACUCUUGUUAUAAAAUAAGAUAAGUCGUAACAUAGUAGAUGUACUGGAAAGUGUAUCUAGAAUGACAAAUUAGAGCUUGUUUAGAAAAGUAAUUUAUUUACAUUAAAUAGUUGUUGUGCAAAUCAAUAUAAUUUGAAAAAAAAAUAUUAUUAAUAUAAUUAGUUAGUUAUUUUUAAUAAAAAUAAUUUUAAAUAUAAAAAUUUAAGUAUUUUUUAUAGAAAAAAUUAUUAUAAUUAUAGUGAAUUAGUAUUGUAAAAGAAAUAUUAAAUAAAUUAAAUUUUAUUUAUAAGUAAAAUUUAUUUUUUGUACCUUGUGUAUCAGGGUUUAUUAAAUAAUAAUUAUAUAAAUUAAUUUUCCCGAAUUUAAAAGAGAUAAUAAGUAAUUUUUUUUAUUGUAAAAAAAAUAUUUAAAAUUAUUUAUUAGUAAUGAAAAGUUAUUCGUUUUUAAAUAUAUCUGGUUUAUAAAGAAAUAAUUUAAAUUUAGUUAAUUUUAUUUUAUUAAUUUAUUUUUUUAAAUUAAUAGAUUUUUUUAGCACUAGUUAAAGGGAUAAGCUUUUAAUUAAAAUUUUAUAAUUUUUAAUAUUAAAAAAAAUAUAUAGGUUUAGAAAUAUCCAUUAUUUUUCGGCAAAAAUUUUAUUCGCCUGUUUAAUAAAAACAUGUCCUUUAGAUAAUAAUUAUUUAAGGUCUAACCUGCCCAUUGAUAAGUUAAAAGGCCGCAGUAAUUUGACUGUGCAAAGGUAGCAUAAUCAUUAGUUUUUUAAUUAAAAGCUUGUAUGAAUGGUUGGACGAGAUAAAAUCUGUCUCUUUAUAAAAAAUAGAAUUUAAUUUUUAAGUUAAAAAGCUUAAAUUUUUGUAAAAGACGAGAAGACCCUAUAGAUCUUUAUAUAAUUUUUUUUAAUAUUAAUAAAGAAAAUUUUAUUUAUUAAAAUUAUUUUUAUUUUAUUGGGGUAAUAAAUAGAUUAAUUUAAUUCUUUUUUUUAAUACAAUAAUUAUUGACUAUAUGAUCCAUUAUUAAUGAUUAUAAGAUUAAGUUACCUUAGGGAUAACAGCGUAAUUUUUUUAGAGAGUUCUUAUCAAUAAAAAAGUUUGCGACCUCGAUGUUGGAUUAAAAGUAAUUCUAGGUGCAGAAGUUUAGAAUUUUGGUCUGUUCGACCAUUAAAUUUUUACAUGAUCUGAGUUUAGACCGGCGUAAGCCAGGUUGGUUUCUAUCUUUAUUUAAUUAAUAUAUUUUAGUACGAAAGGACCAAUUAUAUAAUAUAUUAAUAUUUAUUUUUUGUAUAUAAUUAUUACUUUGGCAGAUUAGUGUAAUGAAUUUAGA